rnacentral:rRNA from 1 species
UGGGGAAUUUUGGACAAUGGGCGAAAGCCUGAUCCAGCAAUGCCGCGUGUGUGAAGAAGGCCUUCGGGUUGUAAAGCACUUUUGUCCGGAAAGAAAUCCUUGGCUCUAAUACAGUCGGGGGAUGACGGUACCGGAAGAAUAAGCGCCGGCUAACUACGUGCCAGCAGCCGCGGUAAUACGUAGGGUGCAAGCGUUAAUCGGAAUUACUGGGCGUAAAGCGUGCGCAGGCGGUUUGCUAAGACCGAUGUGAAAUCCCCGGGCUCAACCUGGGAACUGCAUUGGUGACUGGCAGGCUAGAGUAUGGCAGAGGGGGGUAGAAUUCCACGUGUAGCAGUGAAAUGCGUAGAGAUGUGGAGGAAUACCGAUGGCGAAGGCAGCCCCCUGGGCCAAUACUGACGCUCAUGCACGAAAGCGUGGGGAGCAAACAGGAUUAGAUACCCUGGUAGUCCACGCCCUAAAACGAUGUCAACUAGUUGUUGGGGAUUCAUUUCCUUAGUAACGUAGCUAACGCGUGAAGUUGACCGCCUGGGGAGUACGGUCGCAAGAUUAAAACUUAAAUGAAUUGACGGGGUCAUAGCUGUUUCCU